rnacentral:lncRNA from 1 species
ACAAGCACCCACUCACCCAGAACAAACCCAUAGCCUUUCCUUCCUUCAUCACUGACGCCAUCAUAGAGUCCACCACUGCUGCGCCUUCAUUGCCAGAAUCAUCGCAACCAGUCAGUGGGUCUUUUACUUUCUUGGAUACUUUUUAUUUGUGGUGAAAAUUGUGGGUUUUUUUUUUUUUUAAGUUUCGAUUUAAAGUAGAAAAUUCAAUCGGUUUUUGGAAUCGUUGGUGGGUUUAUUAGUAAUUAUUAUUUAUUUAUCUUUUAUGACUAGUUGGCUUUUUCAUUUUGUUAAUGGUAUUUCUCUUCUUGAUUUGAAGAAAUAGAUUUUUAGUUAAUAAGUGAGAUCUAAUUACAAAGAAUGAGAAAGAAUAAUUUACUUGUUUGUUUGUUUGAUUAGAUUAUUAGUAAACUUGAGUGACGGCAGUUAUAUGAUCAGGUGAUUUCGUGUACUUCAAAGGUUUAAAUUGAAUCGAAGUGGGAGUAGAGAGUAUGCUAUAUAGUAAGGAAUACAUAUUGUAGAUAGGGAUGGCAAUUGUACCCGCAAACCCGCCCAAACCCACCCGCCAAAACCCGCCUGUUGUGGGUAAUUUUACCCGUUGCGGGCGGGUUUAGUAUUAUAAAUUAAAACCCGCAUAUAGAUGCGGGUGGGUUUGGUAUUAACCUUAUAUCCGGUGGAUACCCGCAUGGAUAUCCACCAAACCCACAAUAUUUUUUCCAAAUAUUUUUAAUUUAAUUUUAAUCUAAACAUGUAUAAAGAAAAUAAUAUCAUUAAUCAAAUUACCAAAUAGCCAAAGGUUCAAAGUUGUGUAUGUGUAUGUGUAUAUGUGGCCCAUCUCCUAUUCUAAAGUCAUAAACUAAAGAAAACUAAAGGUAUUUCCCUUCGAAUUAGUAUUUGAAAAUAUUAAUCUUAAUUAUUAUUAUAGGCAUUGUGUUGGAUGGGUGCUUAUGGUGGUGAAUGAAAUGAAUAUCUCUCUUGGAGUUUGUUUUAAAUGAUAAUAUGAAAUGUAAUUAUUAUUUUUAGGUACUAGUUUGUGUUUUUUAAAUAGAUUUGUGUAAUUUAUACUUAAAUUUGAGAAUUUGUGUUGAAUUGAUGUGGAAAUUUUAAUUUUUCAUUUACAUUGUUUAAAUAUAAAAUUGAGUAUGUUAUAUGGAAUUUGAGGUUAUUAUUAUAAAUUUAUGGGAAAAGGACAUUCAACCCCCCAACGUUUAGGAAAAAGAACAAAAAACCCCUCAACGUUUCAAAAAGGACUUAUAACCUCAUUUCCGUUAACAAACACCGUUUGUUUUAACAGUAAAUUUAUUUUUAAUUUUUAAUUACUAUUAUACCCUUAUAAUAAAAAAAUUAAUAUAUUGAUUUGAGACAUCAAAACUAUAAAUAUUCAUAUCCAAAAUUAUUUACUAUAAAUUAUACCUUUCAUAUGUGAUUAUUACUAAUAAAACGAAAUUUGAUUAAACCCUUUUUCUUUGAGGAAUCAAAACCAUAAUAAUAUGGUUUUGAUUCCUCAAAGAAAAAGGGUUUAAUCAAAUUUCAUUUUAUUAAUAAUAAUCACAUAUGAAAGGUUUGAUCAUUAAAAAGGUAUAAUUUAUAGCAAAUAAUUUGGGCAAAAAUGUAAUUGUAUCUCAAUUUUUAGUUUAAAAAAAAAUUAUUAAUUGUGACAUGUCUCAAAUCAAUAUAUUAAUUUAUAUUUAUUAUAAGGGUAUAAUAGUAAUUAAAAAUUAAAAAUAAAUUUAUUGUUAAAACAAACGGUGUUUAUUAACGGAAAGGGGGUUAUAAGUCCUUUUUGAAACGUUGAGGGGUUUUUUGUCCCUUUUCCUAAACGUUGGGGGGUUGAAUGUCCUUUUCCCUAAAUUUAUAUAUUAAACAUUUGUGAUUUUAAAUACGGAAACCCGCAAAAAAUCCGCCGGAUACCAUUGCGGGUUUGGUAAUUGUUAAAACCCGCUGCGGGUGGGUUGUUUUAAAAAAAUUAAAACCCGUUGCGGGUUGUGGGUGGGUUUGGUAAUUUAAAUUUCGUGCGGGUUUGAGUUUGGUAAUGGCAAACCCGCUGCGGACGGUGCCCAUUGCCAUCCCUAAUUGUAGAGCAAGGAUCAAAAUUACUAGCUUAGUGAAUUGAAAUUACUUAAGGUCUACUUCUUCAAUCAUUUUAUUUUGGCUCUAAAAUGAAUUAUUAUCUUGAAUAUUUUGGUAGUUAAUUUUUUUAAUAAAGAAGAAAUAACUUUUUUCAAGUGUUUAAGAAUGUAAUUUUUAGGCACCAAUCCUUUGGUGCUAUAAUUCCCCAUUUCUGAACAUUAUAUUUCUAUGAUUAAUUAUUAAUUUGUGGGUUAUAUAGUGACUUUGGUGGUACUUUUGACAAAUAAUUUGAUGUGGUUUAACAGGAUGGAUGUGGUAGUAUGGAAAUGGAGCAACCUUGCACUCAAGCUAUUAUGUUUUUUCUAGAAGAAAAAACAACAAAAAAUUGAUGGAAUGAGAUGAACGUUGAGGGUAGAAUGAGAUGAAUAUUGAAGUUAUCAAAAUAUCAUAGGAAAAAGAGGGAUAGGAAAGCUGUUUGGUUGGAAUUGCAUUUUAUUUUUUAUUUUUUUUAAGACACCACAUGUUUAACUAUUUAUCUGUAUGUUUAACUAUUUAUUUAUAUUGAGAUAUUUAUUAAAGCUUUUUUUAUUUUAUUUGGCUGGAGCUUUAUUUUAGAUGAUACACAUUUGAGAAAUGUAGAGAAAACAAAUGUUAUAUUGUUUAAAAGUAUAGAAUUUAGU